rnacentral:rRNA from 1 species
UACGUAGGGUGCGAGCGUUAAUCGGAAUUACUGGGCGUAAAGCGUGCGCAGGCGGUUUUGUAAGCCAGAUGUGAAAUCCCCGGGCUUAACCUGGGAACUGCAUUCGGGACUGCAUGGCUAGAGUAUGGGAGAGGGAAGUGGAAUUUCAGGUGUAGCGGUGAAAUGCGUAGAUAUCUGAAGGAACAUCAGUGGCGAAAGCGACUUCCUGGACCAAUACUGACGCUCAUGUGCGAAAGCGUGGGGAGCGAACAGG